CUGCACAGGUGGUGCAUGGGGGUUGUCAGCUCGUGUCUUGAGAUGUUUGGUUAAGUUCCGCAACGAGCGCAACCCCUGUCCCUUGUUGCCAGCGCGUUAAGUCGGGGACUUUUGGGAGACCGCCGGUCCCAAACCGGAGGAAGGUGGGGAUGACGUCAAGUCAUCAUGGCCCCUAAGUCCAGGGGUACAAAACUGGUACAAUGGGUGGGUAAAAGGGGUACCAACCCAUGAGGGGGAGCGAAAUCCAAAAAAGCCGUUCCAAUUCGGAAUGGGGUU
rnacentral:rRNA from 1 species